UAUUAGAGGCAUUGCCUGCCCAGUGACGAAAGUUAAACGGCCGCGGUAUUCUGACCGUGCAAAGGUAGCAUAAUCACUUGUUCCUUAAUUAGGGACUAGAAUGAAUGGCUAAACGAGGGUUCAACUGUCUCUUACUUUCAAUCAGUGAAAUUGCCCUUCCAGUGAAGAGGCUGGAAUAACAAGAUAAGACGAGAAGACCCUAUGGAGCUUCAAUUUAAUAGUUUAAUUUAUAAUAAAAUCAACCUAAUGGCCUAAAACAAAAUAAAUGUAAACUAAAAAUUUCGGUUGGGGUGACCUCGGAGAAUAAAAAAUCCUCCGAAUGAUUUUAACCAAGACCCACAAGUCAAAGUAACACUAGUAUCUUAUUGACCCAAUUAUUGAUCAACGGACCAAGUUACCCUAGGGAUAACAGCGCAAUCCUAUUCAAGAGUUCAUAUCGACAAUUAGGGUUUACGACCUCGAUGUUGGAUCAGGACAUCCCAAUGGUGCAGAAGCUAUUAAUGGUUCGUUUGUUCAACGAUUAAAGUCCUACGUGAUCUGAGU
rnacentral:rRNA from 1 species